AGAGUUUGAUCCUGGCUCAGGAUGAACGCUAGCUACAGGCUUAACACAUGCAAGUCGAGGGGCAGCAGUGGUCUUAGCUUGCUAAGGCCGAUGGCGACCGGCGCGACGGGUGAGUAACACGUAUCCAACCUGCCGUCUACUCUUGGACAGCCUUCUGAAAGGAAGAUUAAUACAAGAUGGCAUCAUGAGUCCACAUGUUCACAUGAUUAAAGGUAUUCCGGUAGACGAUGGGGAUGCGUUCCAUUAGAUAGUAGGCGGGGUAACGGCCCACCUAGUCUUCGAUGGAUAGGGGUUCUGAGAGGAAGGUCCCCCACAUUGGAACUGAGACACGGUCCAAACUCCUACGGGAGGCAGCA
rnacentral:rRNA from 1 species